rnacentral:rRNA from 1 species
AUUGAACGCUGGCGGCAGGCCUAACACAUGCAAGUCGAACGAGUGGCGGACGGGUGAGUAAUGUCUGGGAAACUGCCCGAUGGAGGGGGAUAACUACUGGAAACGGUAGCUAAUACCGCAUACCAUCGGAUGUGCCCAGAUGGGAUUCGCUAGUAGGUGGGGUAACGGCUCACGUAGGCGACGAUCCCUAGCGGGUCUGAGAGGAUGACAAGCCAAAAGGGAACUGCGACACGGUCCAGACUCCUACGGGAGGCAGCAGUGGGGAAUAUUGCAAAAUGGGCGCAAGCCGGAUGCAGCCAUGCCGCGGGUAUGAAGAAGGCCUUCGGGUGGUAAAGUACUUUCAGCGGGGAGGCGUUACCCGCAGAAGAAGCACCGGCUAACUCCGUGCCAGCAGCCGCGGUAAUUC